rnacentral:rRNA from 1 species
AUUGAACGCUGGCGGCAGGCCUAACACAUGCAAGUCGAACGAGUGGCGGACGGGUGAGUAAUGUCUGGGAAACUGCCUGAUGUAGGGGGAUAACUACUGGAAACGGUAGCUAAUAACGAAUCCCAUAGGAUGUGCACAGAUGGGAUUAGAGAGUGGGUGGGGUAACGGCUCACCAAGGCUACGAUCCCUAGCUGGUCUGAGAGGAUGACCAGCCACACUGGAACUGAGACACGGUCCAGACUCCUACGGGAGGCAGCAGUGGGGAAUAUUGCACAAUGGGCGCAAGCCUGAUGCAGCCAUGCCGCGUGUAUGAAGAAGGCCUUCGGGUUGUAAAGUACUUUCAGCGGGGAGGCGUUACCCGCAGAAGAAGCACCGGCUAACUCCGUGCCAGCAGCCGCGGUAAUUC